GACGAACGCUGGCGGCGUGCUUAACACAUGCCAGUCGAACGGAAAGGCCCUUCGGGGUCCUCGAGUGGCGAACGGGUGAGUAACACGUGGGUGAUCUGCCCUGCACUUUGGGAUAAGCCUGGGAAACUGGGUCUAAUACCGAAUAGGACCACGCGCUUCAUGGUGUGUGGUGGAAAGCUUUUGCGGUGUGGGAUGGGCCCGCGGCCUAUCAGCUUGUUGGUGGGGUAAUGGCCUACCAAGGCGACGACGGGUAGCCGGCCUGAGAGGGUGACCGGCCACACUGGGACUGAGAUACGGCCCAGACUCCUACGGGAGGCAGCAGUGGGGAAUAUUGCACAAUGGGCGCAAGCCUGAUGCAGCGACGCCGCGCGAGGGAUGACGGCCUUCGGGUUGUAAACCUCUUUCAAUAGGGACGAAGCGCAAGUGACGGUACCUAUAGAAGAAGCACCGGCCAACUACGUG
rnacentral:rRNA from 1 species